rnacentral:lncRNA from 1 species
UAUCUCUUCUUUUUCCAUCAAAACCACCCGUUCCCCUGUUUACUCUUUCAUCAUUUGUUGGCGGCAGCACAGGCCCAGUGGUGACCCUGGGAGUGCAGCCAAGUAGAGCAGGCUUUGCCAUCAGAGCCAAAGAGUUUGUGAUAUAAACAGUUAUGAUCUCACUUCCUGGUCCCUGGCUUUGCCUUUUCCGCUGAGCUGAUGCUUGGAAUGUACCCGGUGCCUGCAAUGUGACUCUUUUUCUUUUUCCCAAGACAGAGUUUCUCUGUCCUGGAGCCCUCUCUGGAGACCAGGCUGGCCUCCAACUCAGAGAUCCUCCUGCCUCUGCCUCUCGAGUUCUGGGACCGCCAUCUGACUGUGACUCUCUCUGUUCUUGGCAGUCAGAAAGUACUUCAGCGUUGCAGCUCACAGAGGAAAUGAGCUAUGCAGAGGGAACUGGGAAGACCAUCGGGAGGAGACCACUGAAGGGGACCCUAGCCUGACAUUUCAGAAAGUAGAUAUCUGUCCCUCCUGACUGGAAUGCCCUCUCAUGCCAUGGAGCACUCUCUUCAGUCCUUGCCCAGGAAGGCUGCUGCGGCUCAAGCCAUCACAUCCACACCCCAGCUGCAGAAGGAGUUAGAGAAGCUGCUCCUGAGGGGCAUGCCUGUGAGACUGUACACACCGCAUCCUCCCACUUACACUUCUUUGGCCAGAAGACAGCUGGACUUUGCGAGGAAGACUAGUCUUUAUUUUGGGAGUCCACAUGUUUGGUUCACAGGACAUAACAUGGUAUUGGAGUCACCACGGAAACCAAGGGUCAUCACUCUGUUCUCAGCUCACAAGGCUUCUUCUUUUUCUGUCUCUCCAUACUAGUUUUUAAACCAAGGUUUAACUAGAAUUUGAUCUCCUUGAAGAGAAGCCCUGUGGGAAAUUACCCAGCUCUACUCUAGGAACCAAAGGGCAAGAGGCCCAAGCUAACUUAUUUCAGCUUCUGUUAAACUGCUUGCUUGUGCAAACUUCCACAUCCAGCUACAGAGUGUGAUGCCAGGAUGUGGUUUCUGUCUUUAAAAUCUCCCUUGUCUAAAUGCUCAGCGCUACACUUGGGUUUCCAAAUACCUGAGUGUAGCCCCAGCUGGCUGGAAUAAAUACUUUCAACCGGCUAUAAAUUGUGUCUGA